rnacentral:rRNA from 1 species
AGUCGAGCGGACCGAACGAGAGCUUGCUCUUGUUCGGUCAGCGGCGGACGGGUGAGUAACACGUGGGCAACCUGCCCGCAAGACCGGGAUAACUCCGGGAAACCGGAGCUAAUACCGGAUAACACCAAAGACCGCAUGGUCUUUGGUUGAAAGGCGGCUUCGGCUGCCACUUGCGGAUGGGCCCGCGGCGCAUUAGCUAGUUGGUGAGGUAACGGCUCACCAAGGCGACGAUGCGUAGCCGGCCUGAGAGGGUGACCGGCCACACUGGGACUGAGACACGGCCCAGACUCCUACGGGAGGCAGCAGUAGGGAAUCUUCCGCAAUGGACGAAAGUCUGACGGAGCGACGCCGCGUGAGCGAAGAAGGCCUUCGGGUCGUAAAGCUCUGUUGUGAGGGACGAAGGAGCGCCGUUUGAAUAAGGCGGCGCGGUGACGGUACCUCACGAGAAAGCCCCGGCUAACUACGUGCCAGCAGCCGCGGUAAUACGUAGGGGGCGAGCGUUGUCCGGAAUUAUUGGGCGUAAAGCGCGCGCAGGCGGUCCUUUAAGUCUGAUGUGAAAGCCCACGGCUCAACCGUGGAGGGUCAUUGGAAACUGGGGGACUUGAGUGCAGGAGAGGAGAGCGGAAUUCCACGUGUA